AAGCAUGCCUUUUGUUGUUUUCGCAGUCAUUUACUCUUGUAAUUGAAAUUUCAUCGUUGUGAGGUUAGAUAAUUCAUAAAAAUGGUAAUAUUAGAUAUAUGGUGAUGCCAGAGAGAAGACUUGCACUGCUUGGUACUGCAUUUGUAUGUAAUAAUGUGUUACUUAUUUGAAGGCAAUGGAAAAAUAGAAAAUUUAACUUUAUUAUUUUUGGUUGGGAAGUUUAGAAUAUAUUUGCAAUUGGGAUUAGGAGCAAUUGGCGUAGUUUAGGAAAUUUUGU
rnacentral:misc_RNA from 1 species